AGUUCCGAGCCCCCGAGCCGAAAACACGUACUGUUCCACACCCUUAGCUUCAUAGCCGGCUUUUCCCUGGUCUUUACCGCCCUGGGGGCGUCUCUGGGCAUGUUGGGGGCGAUGAUACCCCCAGAGCCGCUGCGCAAUGCAGCAGGCGCACUACUGAUAGUAUUCGGGUUGUUCUUGCUGGCGGCAAUGAAAGUACCCUGGCUGAACUAUGAGAAACGUCUCGACUUCGCCCACGUGAAGCGUUCAGGGUAUCUCAGGUCUCUAUUGAUAGGAGCUAUAUUCUCUCUUGGCUGGACUCCUUGUGUUGGCCCAGUUCUGGGAGGCAUACUGGCCCUGGCAUGGAGUUCACAGACAGUGUGGCAGGGGAUCUAUCUCUUGCUUGCCUAUUGCCUGGGUC
rnacentral:rRNA from 1 species